rnacentral:rRNA from 1 species
UGCAAGUCGACGGUAACAGGAAGAAGCUUGCUUCUUUGCUGACGAGUGGCGGACGGGUGAGUAAUGCUUGGGAAUCUGGCUCAUGGAGGGGGAUAACUACGGGAAACUGUAGCUAAUACCGCGUAGUAUCGGAAGAUGAAAGUGUGGGACCGCAAGGCCACAUGCCAUGAGAUGAGCCCAAGUGGGAUUAGGUAGUUGGUUAGGUAAAGGCUGACCAAGCCGACGAUCUCUAGCUGGUCUGAGAGGAUGACCAGCCACACUGGAACUGAGACACGGUCCAGACUCCUACGGGAGGCAGCAGUGGGGAAUAUUGCACAAUGGGGGAAACCCUGAUGCAGCCAUGCCGCGUGAAUGAAGAAGGCCUUCGGGUUGUAAAGUUCUUUCGGUGAUGAGGAAGGUGUUUGUUUUAAUAGGACAAGCAAUUGACGUUAGUCACAGAAGAAGCACCGGCUAACUCCGUGCCAGCAGCCGCGGUAAUACGGAGGGUGCGAGCGUUAAUCGGAAUAACUGGGCGUAAAGGGCACGCAGGCGGUGACUUAAGUGAGAUGUGAAAGCCCCGAGCUUAACUUGGGAAUUGCAUUUCAUACUGGGUCGCUAGAGUACUUUAGGGAGGGGUAGAAUUCCACGUGUAGCGGUGAAAUGCGUAGAGAUGUGGAGGAAUACCGAAGGCGAAGGCAGCCCCUUGGGAAUGUACUGACGCUCAUGUGCGAAAGCGUGGGGAGCAAACAGGAUUAGAUACCCUGGUAGUCCACGCUGUAAACGCUGUCGAUUUGGGGAUUGGGCUUAGAGCUUGGUGCCCGU